GUGGUGUCCAGGUCUCCGUGCCUGAAGGCUCCUGUCCUGUGUGCAACUGCCCAGUUCUGGCAUUCCCUUGGGGCAGUCGGAAAGCAUCCCAGUGCCCUCGGGUCGGAAGAGCUGCCGUCUCCAUCUCGCCAAGGCACAGCGAUUCUCUCUGCGGGAAAGGCCAUUGCACAAGGAGCCACACCACGGAAUCGGAAGGACCUUGGAGCCCGGGAGCUUUCGUUGUCCUGAGGAUUCAAAGUGACUGUUGUGAUCACCUAGUCUCACCAGCUACGGAACCUGCGCCAUUGGACAGCCCUGAAUUCAUUCUUGCUUGAACCAGAGCAGAGUGUUUAGAAGAACAUCCCAUCUUGAUAUAAAAGCUGCCAGCGAUGGAGAAUCCACCACAACCCUUGCCCGCCUGCGCCGCUCCAGCGAUGGGAGAGGGAGCUGGAGUCCAUUCUGCCCGGCUACAGCCUCGUGAGCACCGCACUGCUGGGCUGUGACAGGGAAAAAGAACUUGUCCAGAUUAGACCAGGUGGAGAUUUGCAGAUCCAGCCAUUGGAAAUGGCCUUU